rnacentral:rRNA from 1 species
GACGAACGCUGGCGGCGUGCUUAACACAUGCAAGUCGAACGGAAAGGCCCUGCUUUUGUGGGGUGCUCGAGUGGCGAACGGGUGAGUAACACGUGAGUAACCUGCCCUUGACUUUGGGAUAACUUCAGGAAACUGGGGCUAAUACCGGAUAGGAGCUCCUGCUGCAUGGUGGGGGUUGGAAAGUUUCGGCGGUUGGGGAUGGACUCGCGGCUUAUCAGCUUGUUGGUGGGGUAGUGGCUUACCAAGGCUUUGACGGGUAGCCGGCCUGAGAGGGUGACCGGCGACAUUGGGACUGCGGUACGGCCCAGACUCCUACGGGGGGCAGCAGUGGGGAAUAUUGCACAAUGGGCGGAAGCCUGAUGCAGCAACGCCGCGUGCGGGAUGACGGCCUUCGGGUUGUAAACCGCUUUCGCCUGUGACGAAGCGUGAGUGACGGUAAUGGGUAAAGAAGCACCGGCUAACUACGUG